AGAGUUUGAUCCUGGCUCAGGACGAACGCUGGCGGCGUGCCUAAUACAUGCAAGUCGAGCGGACAGAUGGGAGCUUGCUCCCUGAUGUUAGCGGCGGACGGGUGAGUAACACGUGGGUAACCUGCCUGUAAGACUGGGAUAACUCCGGGAAACCGGGGCUAACACCGGAUGGUUGUUUGAACCGCAUGGUUCAAACAUAAAAGGUGGCUUCGGCUACCACUUACAGAUGGACCCGCGGCGCAUUAGCUAGUUGGUGAGGUAACGGCUCACCAAGGCAACGAUGCGUAGCCGACCUGAGAGGGUGAUCGGCCACACUGGGACUGAGACACGGCCCAGACUCCUACGGGAGGCAGCAGUAGGGAAUCUUCCGCAAUGGACGAAAGUCUGACGGAGCAACGCCGCGUGAGUGAUGAAGGUUUUCGGAUCGUAAAGCUCUGUUGUUAGGGAAGAACAAGUACCGUUCGAAUAGGGCGGUACCUUGACGGUACCUAACCAGAAAGCCACGGCUAACUACGUGCCAGCAGCCGCGGUAAUACGUAGGUGGCAAGCGUUGUCCGGAAUUAUUGGGCGUAAAGGGCUCGCAGGCGGUUUCUUAAGUCUGAUGUGAAAGCCCCCGGCUCAACCGGGGAGGGUCAUUGGAAACUGGGGAACUUGAGUGCAGAAGAGGAGAGUGGAAUUCCACGUGUAGCGGUGAAAUGCGUAGAGAUGUGGAGGAACACCAGUGGCGAAGGCGACUCUCUGGUCUGUAACUGACGCUGAGGAGCGAAAGCGUGGGGAGCGAACAGGAUUAGAUACCCUGGUAGUCCACGCCGUAAACGAUGAGUGCUAAGUGUUAGGGGGUUUCCGCCCCUUAGUGCUGCAGCUAACGCAUUAAGCACUCCGCCUGGGGAGUACGGUCGCAAGACUGAAACUCAAAGGAAUUGACGGGGGCCCGCACAAGCGGUGGAGCAUGUGGUUUAAUUCGAAGCAACGCGAAGAACCUUACCAGGUCUUGACAUCCUCUGACAAUCCUAGAGAUAGGACGUCCCCUUCGGGGGCAGAGUGACAGGUGGUGCAUGGUUGUCGUCAGCUCGUGUCGUGAGAUGUUGGGUUAAGUCCCGCAACGAGCGCAACCCUUGAUCUUAGUUGCCAGCAUUCAGUUGGGCACUCUAAGGUGACUGCCGGUGACAAACCGGAGGAAGGUGGGGAUGACGUCAAAUCAUCAUGCCCCUUAUGACCUGGGCUACACACGUGCUACAAUGGACAGAACAAAGGGCAGCGAAACCGCGAGGUUAAGCCAAUCCCAUAAAACCGAUCGUAGUCCGGAUCGCAGUCUGCAACUCGACUGCGU
rnacentral:rRNA from 1 species